AUGGCUGGGAUUGGUCCUAUCAGGCAGGACUGGGAGCCGAUAGUGGUGCGGAAGAAGGCGCAGAACGCCGCCGACAAGAAGGACGAAAAGGCCGUCAACGCUGCCCGCCGCUCCGGCGCCGAGAUCGACACCACCAAGAAGUACAACGCUGGAACGAACAAGGCUGCAUCUAGCGGAACUUCCCUCAACACCAAGCGGCUCGACGACGACACCGAGAACCUUUCCCAUGAGCGUGUUUCAAGUGACCUCAAGAAAAACCUUAUGCAAGCAAGGCUGGAUAAGAAGAUGACCCAGGCACAACUUGCUCAGAUGAUCAAUGAGAAGCCACAGGUGAUCCAGGAGUACGAGUCGGGCAAAGCGAUUCCGAACAAUCAGAUAAUUGGAAAGCUUGAGAGGGCACUUGGAGCUAAGCUGCGUAGCAAGAAGUAA
rnacentral:rRNA from 1 species